rfam:Triticum aestivum genome assembly, contig: Triticum_aestivum_CS42_TGACv1_scaffold_395546_5AS
CUCAUACUCCCUCCAUUCCAAAUUACUCUUCAUAGAAAUGGAUGUAUCUAGAACUAAAAUACAUCUAGAUACAUCCAUACCUGCGACAAAUAAUUCGGGAUGGAGGGAGUACAUG